GAGGGUAUAGCUCAACUGGUAGAGCGCUUGUUUAGCAUGCACUGAAGCUCUGGGUUCAAUACCCAGUACCUCCA
rnacentral:tRNA from 1 species